rnacentral:rRNA from 1 species
UGCGCGCUGCCUGAGCCCUUAUGACCUGGGCUACACACGUGCUACAAUGGGAAGUACAACGAGUCGCUAGACCGCGAGGUCAUGCAAAUCUCUUAAAGCUUCUCUCAGUUCGGAUUGCAGGCUGCAACUCGCCUGCAUGAAGCCGGAAUCGCUAGUAAUCGCGGAUCAGCACGCCGCGGUGAAUACGUUCCCGGGCCUUGUACACACCGCCCGUCACACCACGAGAGUUUGUAACACCCGAAGUCGGUGAGGUAACCUUUUUGGAGCCAGCCGCCUAAGGUGGGAUAGAUGAUUGGGGUGAAGUCGUAACAAGGUAGCCGUAUCGGAAGGUGCGGUUGGAUCACCUCCACAAG